UACGGAGGGGACUAGCGUUGUUCGGAAUUACUGGGCGUAAAGCGCACGUAGGCGGAUUUGUAAGUCAGGGGUGAAAUCCCGAGGCUCAACCUCGGAACUGCCUUUGAUACUGCAAAUCUCGAGUCCGGAAGAGGUGAGUGGAAUUCCUAGUGUAGAGGUGAAAUUCGUAGAUAUUAGGAAGAACACCAGUGGCGAAGGCGGCUCACUGGUCCGGUACUGACGCUGAGGUGCGAAAGCCAGGGGAGCAAAGCGGG
rnacentral:rRNA from 1 species